UACUCCUACGGGAGGCAGCAGUGGGGAAUUUUGGACAAUGGGCGCAAGCCUGAUCCAGCCAUGCCGCGUGCGGGAAGAAGGCCUUCGGGUUGUAAACCGCUUUUGUCAGGGAAGAAAUCCUUUGGGUUAAUACCUCGGAGGGAUGACGGUACCUGAAGAAUAAGCACCGGCUAACUACGUGCCAGCAGCCGCGGUAAUACGUAGGGUGCGAGCGUUAAUGGAAUUACUGGGCGUAAAGCGUGCGCAGGCGGUCUUGCAAGACAGGUGUGAAAUCCCCGGGCUUAACCUGGGAACUGCACUUGUGACUGCAAGGCUGGAGUACGGCAGAGGGGGAUGGAAUUCCGCGUGUAGCAGUGAAAUGCGUAGAUAUGCGGAGGAACACCGAUGGCGAAGGCAAUCCCUUGGGCCUGUACUGACGCUCAUGCACGAAAGCGUGGGGAGCAAACAGGAUUAGAUACCCUGGUAGUCCACGCCCUAAACGAUGUCAACUGGUUGUUGGACGGCUUGCUGUUCAGUAACGAAGCUAACGCGUGAAGUUGACCGCCUGGGGAGUACGGCCGCAAGGUUGAAACUCAAAUGAAUGACGG
rnacentral:rRNA from 1 species